rnacentral:rRNA from 1 species
AUGCUGCGGUGAAUGCGUUCCCGGGUCUUGUACACACCGCCCGUCACACCACGGGAGUUGGAGACGCCCGAAGCCGAUUAUCUAACCUUUUGGAAGAAGUCGUCGAAGGUGGAAUCAAUAACUGGGGUGAAGUCGUAACAAGGUAGCCGUAUCGGAAGGUGCGGCUGGAUCACCUCCUUUCUAAGGA